rnacentral:tRNA from 2 species
GGAGAGAUGGCAGAGUGGUUAAAUGCGACGGUCUUGAAAACCGUUAAGGAGAAAAUCUCCUUCCAGGGUUCGAAUCCCUGUCUCUCCG